CCGUAGCCCAAGAGAUCGGGAUAACACCUGGAAACAGAUGCUAAUGCCGGAUAACAAUAGAUGAUGCCUAUCAACUGUUUAAAAGAUGGUUCUGCUAUCACUCUUGGAUGGACCUGCGGUGCAUUAGCUAGUUGGUAGGGUAACGGCCUACCAAGGCGAUGAUGCAUAGCCGAGUUGAGAGACUGAUCGGCCACAUUGGGACUGAGACACGGCCCAAACUCCUACGGGAGGCAGCAGUC
rnacentral:rRNA from 1 species